rnacentral:rRNA from 1 species
GACGAACGCUGGCGGCGUGCUUAACACAUGCAAGUCGAACGGAAAGGCCCUGCUUUUGUGGGGUGCUCGAGUGGCGAACGGGUGAGUAACACGUGAGUAUCCUGCCCUUGUCUUUGGGAUAACUUCAGGAAACUCGGGCUCAUACCGCAUAUGAGCUCCUGCUGCACGGUGGGGGUUGGAAAGUUUCGGCGGUUGGGGAUGGACUCGCGGCUUAUCAGCUUGUUGGUGGGGUAGUGGCUUACCAAGGCUUCGACGGGUAGCCGGCCUGAGAGGGUGACCGGCCACAUUGGGACUGAGAUACGGCCCAGACUCCUACGGGAGGCAGCAGUGGGGAAUAUUGCACAAUGGGCGGAAGCCUGAUGCAGCAACGCCGCGUGCGGGAUGACGGCCUUCUGGUUGUAAACCGCUUUCGCCUGUGACGAAGCGUGAGUGACGGUAAUGGGUAAAGAAGCACCGGCUAACUACGUG